rnacentral:lncRNA from 1 species
GGGACGAACACAAGAACACUCGAAACUAAAGGUAGAUUUGAACCUAAUGGUAUAUCUAAAUCUUUGAUUUCCACAUGAUGAGAACAAGGGUGACCCGAUCUUCUAAAAGGUUCUGGUAACUCUUGAUUUGGUGGAGACGAGACACAAAUCGAUCCGGGUUCCGAACAACACGAUCCGAAACCCUACAAUUUUUUUAUUUUUUUGAUAUUUUUCUUUUAGUUAGAGCACCAAUGGAGUAACCACAGGAAAUUUGAGCUUAAACCAGUGAAAAACAUGGCCUACGAAAAUUUCUGAAAAUUGUGAAAAAUGUGAAAAAACAUCACGAGGUGAAAACUCAAACUUCGGAGGUGAAUUUGGAGGUUCUAAAUUUUCAAACCUACCAAUGGAGUGACAAACAGAUCCAAAAUUUUUUCUGAUCGAUUUUGAUAUAUGGAACGUUGUAAACGGAGCUCGUAUGUGAAAGUUAUGGCUAUUUUACGAACGGACUCCAAGUUAGAGGACAAAACGGUCCGAAAGUGGGAAAAAUUUGCGGUGGUGGCUAGAAAUUGAUGGAAACGGUGGGGGAAAAUACAUGAACUGGACUCUAACAAGACCUAACCAGCAACAAGACCUCGACAAGGACACAAACUCAACACAGCGGACUCUGAAACUGAAAUAUGCAAAGGCUAUGACGCGGAAGGGUUGUAGGACAAGAAAACGAUAUGACACAGGACUUAUGGGACGAACCAAGAACACUCGAAACUAAAGGUAGAUGUGAACCUAACGGUAUACCUAAAGCUUUGAUUUCCACAUAUGAGAACAAGGGUGACCCGAUCUUCUGAAGUUCUGGUAACUCUCGAUUUGGUGGAGACGAGACACAAAUCGAUCCGUCUUACGAACAACACGAUCCGAAACCCUGCAUUUUUUUUGAUAUUUUUAUUUUAGUUAGAGCACCAAAGGAGUGACCACAGAAAAUUUGAGCUUAAACUAGUGAAAGACAUGGCCUACAAAAAUUUCUGAAAAUUAUGUAAAAUGUGAAAAAAAAACAUCACGAGGUGAAAACUCAAACUUCAGAGGUGAAUUUGGAGGUUCUAAAGUUUUCAAACUCGCCAAUGGAGGGGACACAGAGAUCCGAAAUUUUUUUCUGAUCGAUUUUGAUAUAUUGAACGUUGAAAUCAGAGCUCGUAUGCGAAAGUUAUGGCUAUUUUACAAACGGACUCCAAAUUAGAGGACAAAAUGGUCCGAAAGUGGGAAAAAUUUGCGGCGGUGGCUAGAAAUUGAUGGAAACGGUGGGGGAAAAUACAUGAACUGGACUCUAACAAGACCUAACCAGCAAUAAGACCUCGACGAGGACACAAACUCAACACUGCGGACUCUGAAACUGAAAUAUGCAAAGGCUAUGACGUGGAAGGGUUGUAGGACAAGAAAACGAUAUGACACUGCACUUAUGUGACGAACACAAGAACACUCAAAACUAAGGGUAGAUGUGAACCUAAUGGUAUACCUAAAGCUUUGAUUCCCACAUGAUGAGAACAAGGGUGACCCGAUCUUCUAAAAGGUUCUGGUAACUCUCGAUUUGGUGGAGACGAGACACAAAUCGAUCCGGCUUCCGAACAACACGAUCCGAAACCCUGCAAUUUUUUUUAUUUUUUUUUGAUAUUUUUCUUUUAGUUAGAGCACCAAAGGAGUAACCACAGAAAAUUUGAGCUUAAACCAGUGAAAGACAUGGCCUACGAAAAUUUCUGAAAAUUGUGAAAAAUGUGAAAAAAACAUCACGAGGUGAAAACUCAAACUUCAGUUGUGAAUUUGGAGGUCCUAAAAUUUGCAAACCAGCCAAGGGAGGGGACAGACAGAUCCAAAAUUUUUUUCUGAUCUAUUUUGAUAUAUGGAACAUUGAAAUCGGAGCUCGUAUGCGAAAGUUAUGGCUAUUUUACGAACGGACUCCAAAUUAGAGGACAAAACGGUGCGAAAGUGGGCAAAAUUUACGGUGGUGGCUAGAAAUUGAUGGAAACGGUAGGGGAAAAUACAUGAACUGGACUCUAACAAGACCUAACCAGCAACAAGACCUCGACGAGGACACAAACUCAACACUGCGGACUCUAAAACUGAAAUAUGCAAAGGCUAUGGCGUGGAAGGGUUGUAGGACAGAAAAACAAUAUGACACUGGACUUAUGGGACGAACACAAGAACACUCGAAACUAAGGGUAGAUUUGAACCUAAUGGUAUAUCUAAAUCUUUGAUUUCCACAUGAUGAGAACAAGGGUGACCCGAUCUUCUGAAAGGUUCUGGUAACUCUCGAUUUGGUGGAGACGAGACACAAAUCGAUCCGGGUUCCGAACAACACGAUCCGAAACCCUACAAUUUUUUUUAUUUUUUUGAUAUUUUUCUUUUAGUUAGAGCACCAAUGGAGUAACCACAGAAAAUUUGAGCUUAAACCAGUGAAAAACAUGGCCUACGAAAAUUUCUGAAAAUUGUGAAAAAUGUGAAAAAACAUCACGAGGUGAAAACUCAAACUUCGGAGGUGAAUUUGGAGGUUCUAAAUUUUCAAACCUACCAAUGGAGUGACAAACAGAUCCAAAAUUUUUUUCUGAUCGAUUUUGAUAUAUGGAACGUUGUAAACGGAGCUCGUAUGUGAAAGUUAUGGCUAUUUUACGAACGAACUCCAAGUUAGAGGACAAAACGGUCCGAAAGUGGGAAAAAUUUGCGGUGGUGGCUAGAAAUUGAUGGAAACGGUGGGGGAAAAUACAUGAACUGGACUCUAACAAGACCUAACCAGCAACAAGACCUCGACAAGGACACAAACUCAACACUGCGGACUCUGAAACUGAAAUAUGCAAAGGCUAUGGCGCGGAAGGGUUGUAGGACAGGAAAACCAUAUGACACUGGACUUAUGGGACGAACACAAGAACACUCGAAACUAAGGGUAGAUUUGAACCUAACGGUAUACCUAAAGCUUUGAUUACCACAUGAUGAGAACAAGGGUGACCCGAUCUUCUGAAAGGUUCUCGUAACUCUCGAUUUGGUGGAGACGAGACACAAAUUAAUCCGGCUUUCGAACAACACGAUCCAAAACCCUGCAAAUUUUUUUUAUUUUUUUGAUAUUUUUCUUAUAGUUAGGAGCACAAAAGGAGUAACCACACAAUAUUUGAGCUUAAACCAGUGAAAGACAUGGCCUACGAAAUUUUCUCAAAAUUGUGAAAUUGUGAAAAAAAAACUUCAUGAGGUGAAAACUCAAAUUUCGGAGGUGAAUUUGGAGGUUCCAAAAUUUUCAAAACUGCCAAUGGAGUGGACAGACAGAUCUGAAAUUUUUUUCUGAUCAAUUUUGAUAUAUGGAACGUUGAAAUCGGAGCUCGUAUGCGAAAGUUAUGGCUAUUUUACAAACGGACUCCAAAUUAGAGGACAAAAUGGUCGAAAAGUGGGAAAAAUUUGCGACGGUGGCUAGAUAUUGAUGGAAACGGUGCUGGAAAACACACGAACUGGACUCUAACAAGACCUAACAAGCAACAAGACCUCGACGAGGACACAAACUCAACACUGCGGACUCUGAAACUGAAAUAUGCAAAGGCUAUGACACGGAAGUGUUGUAGGACAAGAAAACGAUAUGACACUGCACUUAUGGGACGAACACAAGAACACUCGAAACUAAGGGUAGAUGUGAACCUAAUGGUAUACCUAAAGCUUUGAUUUCCACAUGAUGAGAACAAGGGUGACCCGAUCUUCUGAAAGGUUCUGGUAACUCUCGAUUUGGUGGGGACGAGACAGAUCGAUCCGGCUUCCGAACAACACGAUCCGAAACCCUGUAUUUCUUUUAUUUUUUUGAUAUUUUCUUUUAGUUAGAGCACCAAAGGAGUAACCACAGAAAAUUUGAGCUUAAACUAGUGAAAGACAUGGCCUACGAAAAUUUCUAAAAAUUGUGAAAAAUGUGAAAAAACAUCACGAGGUGAAAACUCAAACUUCAGAGGUGAAUUUGGAGGUUCUAAAAUUUUCAAACCUGCCAAAGGAGAGGACAGACAGAUCUGACAUUUUUUUCUAAUCGAUUUUGAUAUAUGGAACGUUGAAAUCGGAGCUCGUAUGCGAAAGUUAUGUCUAUUUUACGAACGGACUCCAAAUUAGAGGACAAAAUGGUCCGAAAGUGGCAAAAAUUUGCGACGGUGGCUAGAAAUUUAUGGAAACAGUGGUGGAAAACAUACGAACUGAACUCUAACAAGACCUAACAAGCAACAAAACCUCGACGAGGACACAAACUUAACACUACGGACUCUGAAACUGAAAUAUGCAAAGACUAUGACGCGGAAGGGUUGUAGGACAAGAAAACGAUAUGACACUGCACUUAUGGGACGAACACAAGAACACUCGAAACUAAGGGCAGAUGUGAAUCUAAUGGUAUACCUAAAGCUUUUAUUUCCACAUGAUGAGAACAAGGGUGACCCGAUCUUCUGAAAGGUUCUGGUAACUCUCGAUUUGGUGGAGACGAGACAUAAAUCGAUCCGGCUUCCGAACAACACGAUCCGAAAACCUGUAAUUUUUUUAUUUUUUGAUAUUUUCUUUUAGUUAGAGCACCAGAGGAGUAACCACAGAAAAUUUGAGCUUAAACUAGUGAAAGACAUGGCCUACGAAAAUUUUUGAAAAUUGUGAAAAAUGUGAAAAAAACAUCACGAGGUGAAAACUCAAAUUUCAGAGGUGAAUUUGGAGGUUCUAAAAUUUUCAAACUCGCCAAUGGAGGGGACAGACAGAUCUCAAAAUUUUUUCUGAUCAAUUUUGAUAUAUGGAACGUUGAAAUUGGAGUUCGUAUGCGAAAGUUAUGGCUAUUUUACGAACGGACUCCGAAUUAGAGGGCAAAAUGGUCCGAAAGUAGGAAAAAUUCGCGGCGGUGGCUAGAAAUUGAUGGAAACGGUGGGGAAAAACACACAAACUGGACUCUAACAAGACCUAACCAGUAACAAGACCUCGACCAGGACACAAACUCAACACUGUGGACUGUGAAACUGAAAUAUGCAAAGGCUAUGGCGCGGAAGUGUUGUAGGACAAGAAAACGAUAUGACACUGGACUUAUGGGACAAACACAAGAACACUGAAAAGUAAGGGUAGAUGUGAACCUAAUGGUAUACCUAAAGCUUUGAUUACUACAUGAUGAAAAUAAGGGUGACCCGAUCUUCUAAAAGGUUCUGGUAACUCUCGAUUUGGUGAAGAUGAGACACAAAUCGAUACGGCUUCCGAAUAACAUGAUCCGAAACGCUGCAAAUUUUUUUUUAUUUUUUUGAUAUUUUACUUUUAGUUAGGAGCACCCAAGGAGUAACCAUAGAAAAUUUGAGCAUAAACAAAUGAAACACAUGGCCUGCGGAAUUUUCUGAAGAUUGUGAAAAAUGUGAAAAAAACUUCAUGAGGUAAAAACUCAAACUUUGGAGGUGAAUUUGGAGGUUCUAAAAUUUUCAAAAUCGCCAAUGGACGGGACAGACAGAUCCAAAAAUUUUUUCUAAUCGAUUUUGAUAUAUGGAACGUUGAAAUCGGAGUUUGUAUGCGAAAGUUAUGUCUAUUUUACGAACAGACUCCAAAUUAGAGGACAAAACGGUCCGAAAGUGGGAAAAAUUUGCGGUGGUGGCUAGAAAUUGAUGGAAAUGGUGGGGGAAAAUACAUGAACUGAACUCUAACAAGACCUAACCAACAAUAACACCUCGACGACGACACAAACUCAACACUGCGGACUCUGAAACUGAAAUAUGCAAAGGCUAUGACGCGGAAGGGUUGUAGGACAAGAAAACGAUAUGACACUGGACUUAUGGGACGAACACAAGAACACUCGAAACUAAUGGUAGAUGUGAACCUAAUGGUAUACCUAAAGCUUUGAUUAUCACUUGAUGGGAACAAGGGUGGCCCGAUCUUCCAAAAUGUUCUGGUAACUCUCGAUUUGGUGGAGACGAGACACAAAUCGAUCCGGCUUUCGAAUAACAUGAUCCGAAACCCUGCGUUUUUUAUUUUUUUGAUAUUUUUCUUUUAGUUAGGAGCACCAAAGGAGUAACCAUAGAAAAUGAGCUUAAACAAGUAAAAGACAUGGCCUGCGGACUUUUCUGAAGAUUGUGAAAAAUGUGAAAAAAACUUCACGAGGUGAAAACUCAAACUUCAGAAGUGAAUUUGGAGGUACUAAAAUUUUCAAACCCACCAAUGGAGGGGACAGACAGAUCCAAAAAUUUUUUCUGAUCGAUUUUGAUGUAUGGAAUAUUGAAAUCAGAGUUUGUAUGCGAAAGUUAUGGCUAUUUUACGAACGGACUCCGAAUUAGAGGACAAAACGGCGGUGCCUAGAAAUUGAUGGAAACGGUGGGGAAAAAGACAUGAACUGGACUCUAACAAGACUUAACCAGCAAGAAGACCUCGACCAGGACACAAACUCAACACUGCGGACUCUAAAACUGAAAUAUGCAAAGGCUAUGGCGCGGAAGGGUUGUAGGACAAGAAAAUGAUAUAGCACUGGACUUAUAGGGACAAACAUGAGAACACUCGAAACUAAGGGUAGAUGUGAACCUAAUGGUAUACCUAAAGCUUUGAUUUCCACAUAUGAGAACAAGGGUGACCCGAUCUUCUGAAGUUCUGGUAACUCUCGAUUUGGAGACGAGACAGAAAUCGAUCCGGCUUCCGAACAACACGAUGCGAAAACCUGUAAUUUUUUUUUGAUAUUUUUCUUUUAGUUAGAGCACCAAAGGAGUGACCACAGAAAAUUUGAGCUUAAACUAGUGAAAGACAUGGCCUA